UGUCCCUUGUAGCGCAAUGGAUAGCGCAUUGGACUUCUAAUCCAAAGGUAGUCUCAAAUCCAAAUUAA